rnacentral:rRNA from 1 species
UACGUAGGGUGCGAGCGUUAAUCGGAAUUACUGGGCGUAAAGCGUGCGCAGGCGGCUUGCCAAGUCAGAUGUGAAAGCCCCGGGCUCAACCCGGGAAUGGCGUUUGAAACUGGCAGGCUAGAGUUUGGCAGAGGGGGGUGGAGUUCCACGUGUAGCAGUGAAAUGCGUAGAGAUGUGGAGGAACACCGAUGGCGAAGGCAGCCCCCUGGGCCAAAACUGACGCUCAGGCACGAAAGCGUGGGGAGCGAACGGG